GAUGAAGAACGUAGCGAAAUGCGAUAAGUAGUGUGAAUUGCAGAAUUCAGUGAAUCAUCGAAUCUUUGAACGCACAUUGCGCCCCUUGGUAUUCCAUGGGGCAUGCCUGUUCGAGCGUCAUUUGUACCUUCAAGCUUUGCUUGGUGUUGGGUGUUUGUCCUGAGGGACUCGCCUUAAAGUAAUUGGCAGCCAGUGUUUGGUUUUGAAGCGCAACACAAGUCGCGAUUCAAGGCUAUACACCAGCUUCCACAAGCCUUUUUCACUUUUGACCUCGGAUCAGGUAGGGAUACCCGCUGAACUUAAGCAUAUCAAUAAGCGGAGGA
rnacentral:misc_RNA from 1 species